GACGAACGCUGGCGGCGUGCUUAACACAUGCAAGUCGAACGGAAAGGCCCUGCUUUUGUGGGGUGCUCGAGUGGCGAACGGGUGAGUAACACGUGAGUAACCUGCCCUUGACUUUGGGAUAACUUCAGGAAACUGGGGCUAAUACCGGAUAGGAGCUCCUGCUGCAUGGUGGGGGUUGGAAAGUUUUGGCGGUUGGGGAUGGACUCGCGGCUUAUCAGCUUGUUGGUGGGGUAGUGGCUUACCAAGGCUUUGACGGGUAGCCGGCCUGAGAGGGUGACCGGCCACAUUGGGACUGAGAUACGGCCCAGACUCCUACGGGAGGCAGCAGUGGGGAAUAUUGCACAAUGGGCGGAAGCCUGAUGCAGCAACGCCGCGUACGGGAUGACGGCCUUCGGGUUGUAAACCGCUUUCGCCUGUGACGAAGCGUGAGUGACGGUAAUGGGUAAAGAAGCACCGGCUAACUACGUG
rnacentral:rRNA from 1 species